CCUACUUUACAGAGUACAGUCCCCUAUUUGAAGGACUGGCCAAGGAUGAUUCUCUGAUUGAAUGCAUCAUCUAGGUUAGGUGUGGGGAACAAUUGGCCCUCCAGAUGUUGUUGAACUACAUAACUUCCAUCAGCCCUAGCAAGCAGGGCCAAUGGCCAGGGAUGAUGGGAGUUGUAGUACAGCAAAGGUUCCUCACCCCAACUGGAGGGCAGCUGGAGGGCAGUCUAAAGACAAAAAAAAAAAAGCAUAAGAAAGAAAGUCUUUAAAUUGCCCAUUAGCAGGCAGCAGCAGACUAUGCAAGCAGAUAGGUUUACUCAAGCAGUAUUCCCAACUAUGGUAAGAUAUUUCUGUUUUAUUUCUAUAUUUCUGCUUUAAAUCAGAGGUGGGGAAGCGGUGGCCCUCUAGUUUAUUAUUGUUUGUUGUUGUUGCUGCUGCCGCUGCUGUUGUCGUUGUUGGUUUCUAUUGAUUUAUUGGGUAUUUUUGUUGCUCGUAUAGUAUAUUUUGUUUUUUAACAUUUGAUGCUUUGUUGUGUUUUUAUAUAUGUUGUAAGCCACCCAGAGUGGCUGGGGAAACCCAGCAAGAUGGGUGGGAUUUAAAUAAAAAAAAUCAUUAUCAUCAUUAUUUUUAGUUGUUGUUGUUGGACUACAACUCCCACAUGCCCAACCCUUUGCUGAUGGAGUCUGUCAAUGGUGUUUUCCACAGACACCAUUUCCCCUCACUCCUUUGGCUUCUAGGCUGGUAACCAAGAGGCAGGAUGAUCUGACAGGCCUAGGAGCCUCCUUUGCUGAUUCCUACUAUGUAUCUUUUCGGAAGACGCAAUACGAGAGAAUGGGCCAGCUACCCUAAGUUGGUGUAGCGUAGUUUGCUAGUGCCCAGGGAGGCCACACGCACCGUGGGGGUGGUGGCGGAGGGUGAAUGGAGCCUUCCAUGCCAGCCCAGCCCUUGCCGGGUGUUAUGUACUGAAGUCAAGGCUGCCAGAACGCACCCCCCCCCAAACAAAGCCAAGUGUGGCUGCGCUGUCACAACCCUUGGAUCACCUCAGCCUCACAUAGCAGCUCAGGGCUGGCAGGGCGGCAUGAGAUUAAGAUCGGAUCCCAGCCUCACAAAGUGGCACAGGGCUGGCAAGGGUAGUGUGAGGAGCCAAAUGUGCAGCGCCCCCUAAAACAAAUGCGCACGGGGCCCCACCGCCAUGCUAUGUCCCCCCCCCCCCCCAAGGAUGCUGUCUUGUAGCCAGUUUUGAGGAAAGAUUCAGCUGACACUUCAGUUGGUUUCUGUCGUGGGCAGGGAGAGAACCAUCUUGACUUUCACCUCAAGCAGCAAAAAGUCUUGGGUCAGGACACAAGAGCUUCCCACACUGGAGGAAUGGCAGAUGAAAAUGAUGGACUACAUGGAAUUGGCGGAAAUGACUGGUAGAAUCCGCGACCAGGGAGAAGAGUCGGUGGAAGAAGAUUGGAAGAAAUUUAAAGAUUAUUUACAGAAAUAUUGCAAAAUUAAUGAAUGUUAGAGUGAUGUUGGAUUGAAGAUAAGUGGCUUCUAGCUGUACAGGUUUUAAAAUUAUAAAUAUACCAAGAUUAAGGAUUAGGAUUAAAAAGGUUAAAAGAUUGGAAAAAUUGGUUUUUAAUAGGUAAAAACUUAAUGUUAUAAUAUAUUAGGAUUAAGGAUUGGGAUUAAAAAGGAGGGAAAGAAAUUGCUGGACUAACAAACUGAAUUGGAAUACAAAAGAGGGAGGUAUGAGGAGGUCCGGGAAACAAGUAAAUGUAAAAGAAGUUAUGAAAAGACGGAAUUGUUUUUAAUUGUUUUUUCUUUUUCCUUUUUGUAUUUUGUAUUGUGUAUUUUUCUUUUUAUUCUUAAAUUUUCCUUUUUUAUUAAUGUGAUUCCUUUUCUGUGAAACUUUAAUAAAUAUUUUUUUUUAAAAAAAAGUCUUGGGUCAGCCAACAUCAGGCAGGCAGACACACAUUCUUCCUUGCAAUGCUUUCAAUGAAAUCAUCCCCAUUCUCCCGACACCGUAGUUAAUUUCUAAAAAGAGAUAGACAGAUCUGGGAAGUGGCACUGGCAGGGGAGGAGAAGGUUUUUGCAAGCCUGCUCUCUCAUCACCGAAAGCCUCACCCAACUUGUUCCGAACUUUAAACCCGCUCCAGCCUUCUACGGGUUUUUAUCAAAAUGAUAAUUAACUGAAACUCAAUUCUACAACAGAAUGUCCCAUGGAACGAGUUGUAUCGCCUUUGGUGAAUUAAUUUUAAUGCAAUUUGUUCCUACCUAAAGUUGUAUGCGUCAAAGGUUAAAAGUUCUGCUCGGCUGAUUAAUGCCUUAUGUUGGAUAUUUAUUUUUCCAGGGAAUCUAUGUGAGUUCAUCAUCCUGGGGAUUAUGAUUUCCUUCUCUAACAGGCUGAUGAUCAACGCUAAAGGGGGAGAUCGCUGAGAAUGCAUCAUAUCAGCUUUCAGCGUCAUUGGGAGAGGCUUCGGGGAAUCUCAGCGCACAACAAUAUACAAUAUGUAACAUAUUAUUACC